rnacentral:rRNA from 1 species
CGAGAGGUCUUGGUAAUCUUGUGAAACUCCGUCGUGCUGGGGAUAGAGCAUUGUAAUUAUUGCUCUUCAACGAGGAAUUCCUAGUAAGCGCAAGUCAUCAGCUUGCGUUGAUUACGUCCCUGCCCUUUGUACACACCGCCCGUCGCUAGUACCGAUUGAAUGGCUUAGUGAGGCCUCAGGAUCUGCUUAGAAGAGGGGGCGACUCCACUUCAGAGCGGAGAAUCUGGUCAAACUUGGUCAUUUAGAGGAACUAAAAGUCGUAACAAGGUUUCCGUAGGUGAACCUGCGGAAGGAUCAUUAA